UACGAGGGGUGCUAGCGUUGCUCGGAAUUAUUGGGCGUAAAGGGUAGGUAGGUGGUCUCAUUUGUCUCAUGUGAAAGCCUUGAGCUUAACUCAAGAAGUGCGUGAGAAACGGUGAGACUAGAGUACUGGAGAGGCUAGUGGAAUUCCCGGUGUAGCGGUGAAAUGCGCAGAUAUCGGGAAGAACACCCGUGGCGAAGGCGGCUCUCUGGGACGGUACUGACGCUGAGACGCGAAAAGCGUGGGGAGCGAACAGG
rnacentral:rRNA from 1 species